UACAGAGACUGCAAGCGUUAUUCGGAUUCACUGGGCGUAAAGGGUGCGUAGGCGGCUCUGUAAGUCACUUGUGAAAUCUCUGAGCUUAACUCAGAACGGCCAAGUGAUACUGCAGUGCUAGAGUGUAGAAGGGGCAAUCGGAAUUCUUGGUGUAGCGGUGAAAUGCGUAGAUAUCAAGAGGAACACCUGAGGUGAAGACGGGUUGCUGGUCUAACACUGACGCUGAGGCGCGAAAGCCAGGGGAGCAAACGGG
rnacentral:rRNA from 1 species